rnacentral:rRNA from 1 species
UACGGAGGAUGCAAGCGUUAUCCGGAAUUAUUGGGCGUAAAGCGUCCGCAGGUGGUUAUCCAAGUCUGCUGUUAAAGCGCGAGGCUUAACUUCGUACAGGCAGUGGAAACUGGGUGAUUGGAGUAUGGUAGGGGUAGCGGGAAUUCCCAGUGUAGCGGUGAAAUGCGUAGAUAUUGGGAAGAACACCAGCGGCGAAAGCGCGCUACUGGGCCAUUACUGACACUCAUGGACGAAAGCUAGGGGAGCGAAAGGG